GGGCUGGAGUGCAGCUGAGGACCAAGGCAGGGCUGCAUGCAUUCACAUGCCAGUUCCACGCUGCAUGCCGGCCU
ensembl:miRNA